AAUUAUCAUUUAUGCUCAUGAACAUCAAACUCAGAAUUCAACACAAACAUUCACAUCAAAUCCAACAAUUAGCAGAACACGAAUUCAUGAUUAAACAACUACAACCUAAAAGGUUUUACACAAACCCCUUCAAGGUUUAAAUCACUCAACAAUGGAGGAAAAAGAAAGGAAAAAGGAAUAAGGAUAAGGACUUCUCUCUACUCUU
rnacentral:lncRNA from 1 species